AUUGAACGCUGGCGGCAGGCUUAACACAUGCAAGUCGAGCAGGGUGAUGGUGCUUGCACUAUCACUUAGCGGCGGACGGGUGAGUAAUGCUUAGGAAUCUGCCUAUUAGUGGGGGACAACAUCUCGAAAGGGAUGCUAAUACCGCAUACGUCCUACGGGAGAAAGCAGGGGCUCACUUGUGACCUUGCGCUAAUAGAUGAGCCUAAGUCGGAUUAGCUAGUUGGUGGGGUAAAGGCCUACCAAGGCGAAGAUCUGUAGCGGGUCUGAGAGGAUGAUCCGCCACACUGGGACUGAGACACGGCCCAGACUCCUACGGGAGGCAGCAGUGGGGAAUAUUGGACAAUGGGGGGAACCCUGAUCCAGCCAUGCCGCGUGUGUGAAGAAGGCCUUAUGGUUGUAAAGCACUUUAAGCGAGGAGGAGGCUCUUUUGGUUAAUACCCGAGAUGAGUGGACGUUACUCGCAGAAUAAGCACCGGCUAACUCUGUGCCAGCCGCCGCAGUAA
rnacentral:rRNA from 1 species